rnacentral:rRNA from 1 species
GAGUUUGAUCCUGGCUCAGGAUGAACGCUGGCGGCGUGCCUAAUACAUGCAAGUCGAGCGAACAGAUGAGAAGCUUGCUUCUCUGAUGUUAGCGGCGGACGGGUGAGUAACACGUGGGUAACCUACCUAUAAGACUGGGAUAACUCCGGGAAACCGGGGCUAAUACCGGAUAAUAUAUUGAACCGCAUGGUUCAAUGUUGAAAGACGGUUUCGGCUGUCACUUAUAGAUGGACCCGCGCCGUAUUAGCUAGUUGGUAAGGUAACGGCUUACCAAGGCAACGAUACGUAGCCGACCUGAGAGGGUGAUCGGCCACACUGGAACUGAGACACGGUCCAGACUCCUACGGGAGGCAGCAGUAGGGAAUCUUCCGCAAUGGGCGAAAGCCUGACGGAGCAACGCCGCGUGAGUGAUGAAGGUCUUAGGAUCGUAAAACUCUGUUGUUAGGGAAGAACAAAUUUGUUAGUAACUGAACAAGUCUUGACGGUA